GCGCGGCAACGGGCCGCGUCCCGGGCUGCGGCCAUGGCGGAGGCGCUGCGCGGCCGCCGCGUCUUCCUCAACCACCUCGACUCUUAUUGCGGCCGCAGCAUCGGCCAGUAUUUAUCAACCUGUUUUGUUGGAGCGACGCUUGUAAGCCCAGAUGAAGAAGAGGAGGGAGAUGAAAAUGGUUCAGAUGACGUUCCCACGGCCUCAAAGAAUGAAGUCUAUGAAAUAGUGGGUACUCUUUCUAAACCAGAGAGUACUAAUCCACGUUUUGCAAAGGAAACGUAUGUAGUUUCUUCUCGAGAAGCACUCUUAAGUCACUUGCUUGAGUGUGAAAUUGUUUUAUAUAAUAUCACUGAAGAUGCAAACCAAAUUGAGGAAGCAAUGUGGGCUGCUUCUGCCCUACAUAAGGAAAUAGAGACUUUUGCAAAACAAAAGAUAUUCAUCCUCAUUUCAACAAUAAUGACCUGGGGAAAUACCAAACCCUUUGACCCUGAAAAUCCUGAGAAUCCUUUUAAUGAAAGCAAUUUUCGCAAAAGAAAAUCUCAUCCUAGCUUUAUGGAUUACAUAAAUGCUGAAAAACACAUUGCAAAACUUGGGAAAACUAACAAUGAAAAGUUUUCAACUUAUGUUGUUGCCUCAGGACAUCAAUAUGGAGCUGAGGAAGGACUCUUUCACUACUUUUUUAAGAUGUGUUGGGUUGGUGAGACUCCUGCAAUACCUGUUUUUGGAGAUGGAAAUAAUAUUAUUCCAACCAUUCAUAUUCGUGAUUUAGCAGGAGUGUUGCAAAAUGUAGCAGACCACAGGCCAGACUUUCAGUAUGUACUUGCAGUAGAUACAUCGAUGCACACCCUUGAACAAUUAAUAAAGUGUAUCAGUAAAAAUCUCGGACCUGGAAAAAUUGAGAAGAUUCCUAAAGAAAAUGCAUUCCUGAGCAAAGAACUAACACAAAUGCAAUUGGAUAUGUUGUUUGUGAACCUGCGAUUCGAACCUACUUAUCUGAAAGAGAAUUUCAAUAUUAAGUGGGUUGCUGAGGAAGGACUGAUAGAGAACAUUGCACAAGUCAUCAUGGAAUACAAGCAAACUCGAGGAUUACUGCCUCUCAAAAUUUGCAUUCACGGUCCUCCUGCAUCUGGCAAAUCUACCAUUGCUAAGGAGCUCUGCAAACACUAUAAGCUACACUAUGUUACGAUAAAUGAUGUGAUUUCUGAAAAAAUUGCAGAUCUGGAACAAAUUGUGGCUAAAGAACCUGACAGGGUGGAAGGAAAAGUAGAAAGAGAAGGAGAAGAAGAUGAUGUGCAGGAGGAGGGUGAAAAUGUAGAAGCAGCAAAGGAAUUAUUAGAUGAAAUAAAAGAAAACAUGCAGCAGAAUAAAGGCCAACUAGGUGAUGAGUAUCUUAUUAAAAUUAUGAAGGACAAGCUCAUGUCUAUGCCUUGUAGGAAUCAGGGAUAUGUUUUAGAUGGGUUCCCAGAGACCUAUGAGCAGGCGACAGAUCUUUUUAAAGAAGAAGAGGAUGAAGCAGAAGAAGAGGAAGAAGAAAAAGGCAUAAUGCCUAAAUUUAAUGAAAUAAUUAUACCUGAAUUUGUUUUUUCUUUGACUGCAUCUGAUGAAUUCCUUAUAAACAGAAUAAUAAAUCUGCCAGAGAUAGAAGUUGCUGGAACACAUUAUACUGAGGACGAGUUCCUGCAAAGUCUGAAACACUUCCGCAAGUUAAAUACCGAUGAUACGACAGUUCUCAACUAUUUUGAUGAACUCGAAAUACAUCCUCAGUUUAUUGAUAUAGCUCUAUAUGAAGAUGCUGAGAACAGACUUACUGUACCAAAGAUCAUCAAAGAAGUUGGAGAACCUCGGAAUUAUGGUUUGACAGAUGAAGAAAAGGAGGCUUUGGAACGUCAAGCAGUGGAGGAACGCCUUGUCAAAGAAGCUCAAGAAAAAGCUGAACAAGAGUAUAAAGAAGCUAAGGAAAGGGAAGAAAGAAUGGCAAGAUGUGAAGAGUGGAAUAAACAGCAGGAGGAAGUGAAAAGACAAGAACAAGAGUUCUUGGAGGCCCAGUCUGUUCCAUUACGGAACUAUUUAAUGCAGAAUGUCAUGCCAACACUUAUGCAAGGGAUAAAUGCAUGUUGUAUGAUCAGGCCAGAUGAUCCAGUCAAUUUUCUGGACAUCCCUCAUGUGACCAGGAGCUCUAUAAGGGUCUGAGAUCUGGUUGCCCUUCAUUGAUUUACUGUCUGCUGCCAGAGGGUUUGCUAAAGGGUCACCUCCACACCCUCUCAGGCAGAAUAUCUCUUCAAGAACAGUCCUGAUAUCGAUUGGAGUAAACCUUAAAUCCUAGCAGCAAUAGGAAUUGUGAAACAAAAAGGGAGAAAAUUUCCUAAUACAUUUUAGAUAAAAAUACUUUGUUUCUGAUGUUAUUUUUGUUUAGGCUUAUUAUGUCAUCUUCAUUUUUAUUUCUAAUACUUUAUUGCUAUUUUGUACUGGGUUUUUAACACUCUUCUAAAUUUCCAUUUGCUGCAUGUAUGGAUUGGUACAUUACACAUCUCUAUAUUAUAUUCCUAAUCCUUAGUGAAUGUAGGCAGCUAGCAUGAGAAAAACUUUUAUCCAAAAAUAAAAGUGUUUCUCUGUCCUAUUUCUCCUCCCAGUAACCAAGAGGCAAAAAGUCACACAGUACAGUCUUCUUGUGCUGCACUGAAGACUGAUUGGUAAACAGUUUCCCAGCACAGGGUAUGUCAUAAAACCUGUGUUUCACUUUGGUAUCGAAUGCAUGGCUGUAGAAUUCAUUUAAUAAUCUUCAGCAUUCAACACUAGAUAACAUAUUUUUUAGAGAUUCUUGAAGAAUCUAGACUUUCCACCACACGGCUGUCCUCAAUUUUGAUGACUUCAUCCAGAUAUCACAGGAACUAUAUCUAUGCUAACUGAGCUGAAAUUGAUUGCAUACGUGGUGUUAAACAAAUACAUGAUUUUGUCAAAACAGAAGGCAAGGACUCUUUGUGCAAAAGGAGGGGGGGGGAAAAGUGGAAGAGCUGAAAGAAUAGUGAUAUAGAAACAUUUCACAGCUAUUUUUUCUGUAACUUUGAGUAUCAGAAUUUUAGAUGUGUUAAUGGCCAAUGUUUUUCUUCAAGAUAUAUUAGUGUUUUUAUAGAGUAUCUUAUUUCAUCUGUUUUCAUAGCCACACAGACAAGUUGGGAAUAGAGUUCAGAACCAUCAUCUACUCUAAAGAAACACAUAUAUUUGUGAUCUCUAUGUCCUAUAUGCUCUCAGCCCAAGUUACCAUUUAUCCUGUGAGGUGGUUGAAGAUGAAAUAACUGGUAGCUUUAGAAAAUUUCUUAGUUUGAAAGUGCAGUUUUUUCAGAAUAAACAUGUAACCUGGUCACUUAAAUAGAGAGGGCAAACCAGGUUUUAUCCAGUUACUGUAAUGCGUUUACUUUUCCAAGAAUAAAGUUUUGAGCUGAUCUAUAAA